GGCGCAAAGGAUGAACGACAAAGGGACUUAAUACUGAAACCUGAUGUUAACGUUGCGAUGUACUGAUGUGC
ensembl:snoRNA SNORD82 Small nucleolar RNA SNORD82